GUACGAGGAAGAGGAGUGUGACCAACUUCAUCGAUUUACGCUCUCAGAAACAUUUGAAUGUUGUUGAGAAAAAUGCCUCUUCUGUCACUUUCAUCAACAUUAUAUGCUACUGUCUUCUAUUUGACUCUCAAUUACAUACUUCAAAAUUAAAAGAGUUCAACUGAUAAUUACUAAAGUGGAAACUGUUUACAGAAUAUUAUUCUUCUAUUAAAUUUAUCAGCGUGCGGGACAAUAUAUAUACGUGCCGGUGUAAUUUCAUAGGAAGUGCAAGUGCACAUAUGGAUAGAUUUUUGGAAACUUCUUAGUUUCACGUGAUGAUAUCUUUAUACCAUGAGAUGGCAAUUGAAACUAGGCAAUAUAUGAGUAGAUGGACAUUCAUGAGACAGGAGUGCCAUGGCGUGACAUUCUAUGGAUAUCUAGAAUUUCUCCAUCCAUGUCGACACGAACAUAUUUUACUUAGGCGAGAUACGAAUGUUUCAACCUCUCCGGUCGGUUAAAAUGACUAAUAAAAGGAGCUCGGUGUGUGUUGAUUAAUGGCGACGGCAGGCAUGGGGUUCGGCAACUGAGGACGGGAUGGGCGGAUGGACCGGCUUACGUAACCCAGUGUCCCAUACAGACCAACCAGAGCUACACCUACAACUUCACCCUCACCGGCCAGAGAGGAACGCUGCUGUGGCACGCGCACGUCUCGUGGCUAAGAUCGAGCAUCCACGGCCCCAUCAUCAUCCUCCCCAAGCGGAACGAGUCCUACCCGUUCGAGAAACCCUCCAAGGAAGUCCCCAUAAUAUU
rnacentral:lncRNA from 1 species